rnacentral:pre_miRNA from 1 species
AGUUCGUUAAGUAGCCAAGGAUGAUUUGCCUAGCUCCCAUUUAUAAACUAAUUAAGGGUGACAACACGUAAAUGUGUAGUGUUGUUAGCUAGUUACCAGUUUUAUAUGUUUCUGGGCAAAUCAUCCGGGGCUAUCUUAAUGGAUUCU